CCUACUCAGUUAUUGCCUGUAUCUCCAUUAUUUUAUAAAUGUGCAUUUUAUGUCUUUCCUGUAAAGACUAUGAGUUUAUUGAGGGCUAAACAUCUUUUCCGGUUCCUGGUACAUAGUUGGUACCCAUUUAAAGGGAGGGAGGGACAAAACGUACAUAAGUAGCUACCAAACUGGUAGGAAAAUGGCCUCCAUGGCUGUUCCUCUUCUCCUCUGGAUCUCAGUGCCAGAGUUUCCCAGAGUGUGGUCCCUGGCUCUGUUCUGUCCAUCAUCUUUUUCUUGGUAUCUCAUCCUGCCUGUGGCUGACUCCUUCACAGUUGUACCUCCAGUCCAGGUUUCUCAUUUUCAAAUAUCCAUCUGCCUACAAGAUCCCUCCACUUGGAAGUCGAGAGAAUCCCAAGCUCCACACACCCCAAGCUGAGCUCCCUGCCUCCGCUCCCCCAGUCCUGCUUCCCCAGGGGCCUCCCCAUCACAGGGAAUGGCAACUCCAUCCUUCUGGUCCUCAGGCCAAAAGCUCUACAGUCAGCUUUGACACCUGCCUCUAUUACAGUCCCAUCAACCAGGACAUUCGUCAGGUUCUACCACAUCCUCUUCACUGUCUCAACUGCUGCCACUCAGGUCCCUCCCACCCCAUCUCUUACCUAGAUUAUUUUAGAAGCACUCUAACUGUUCUUCUUACCCUUGUCCUCCCACAAUCCAUUCUCAACCCAGCAGCCGGAAUGACCCUUUGAACCGUAAGUCAGAUCACAAUACUGCUCAGCUUAGAACCUCCCAGUGGCUUUCCCCAGUUACCACAGAAUAAAAGUCACAGUCCCUAAAAUGGUUUACAAGACCUACGUGAUCUGGCCUUCUCUGACCAGUUCCCCUUCCUCAAUCUGCUCUGGUCAUGCCGGCCCCCUUCCUAUUCCUUGAAAUGCCAAGGCAUGCUUCGGCCUUGUGGCCUUUGCAGUGGCUGUUCCCUCUGCCUGGAAUCCUUUCCCCCAGAUAUCUGCAUGGUCAAAUCCCUCACUAACUCCUAAUAUUUUGUUCAAAUGUCACUUUUGAAAGGACCCCUUUUUCAAAAUUGCAGACCGCACCCCGCCACAUGCCUCAUCCCCCUUGCUCUGCUCUGCUCUGCACUUUUCCCCCACAGCACUUACUGCCUUCUAGCAUAUUAUGUAAUGUACUUGCUAUGUUUUUUUGUCUGUUUCUCCCCACAAGAAUGUAAGCUCUGUAGGGCAGAAAUCUCUGUUUUAAUCACUGACACAUAAUGGGCACUCAAUAACUAGUUGUUGAUGGGAUUGAAUGAAGAAAUUGCUCUCCCUUACUAGAAGUCAUUUUUAGAUAACUAGUAAUUCAGAACUACUCCUGUGUGCAUGUCAGCAAAAUUCAGUGGAGAUUUAUUGAGAAGAUGCUGAGCUGGGCCCCUGGCCCCCUGGUCUGUACAAAUUGUUUUGCUGUAAAACAGAAUCUUUCAGCUGGGUGGUGGGGCUGGGGGUUGGGGGGAAAUGCUACCAGGAAACCAAAGGAAGGCCAUUCUCUACGUUUCCUGCUGAUGAUUUCAAAAUUAGAGGCUGGAGUUUUGCAUGUGAAUCCACAUGCAAAAGAAUGAAUUUAGAGCUGUACUUCACAGCAUAUAGAAAAAUUAACUCAAAAUGGACCACUAAAUCUCUAAAGCUCUUAGACGAAAACAUAAGGGUAAAUCUUUGUGACCUUGGAUUAGGCAACAGUUCUCUAGAUAUGACAUCAAAAGCACAGGCAAUGAAAGAAAAAAAUAAAGUGGACUUCAUCAAAAUAAAAACUUUUGUUUUUGGAAGAACACUAUCAUGAAAGUGAGAAGACCACCAACAGAACAGGAGAGGACAUUUGCAAAUCAUAUAUCUGAUAAGGGAUUUGUAUCUAGAAUAUAUAAAGAACUCUUACAACUCAACAAUAAGACAGAUAGUCUAAUUAAAAAUAGGCAAAUGGACAUGUCUCCAAAGAAGAUACACAAAUGGCCAAUAAGCAUUUGAAAAACAUGCUCAACAUCGUUACAGAAAACCACAAUGAGAUACCACUUUACACCCACUAGGAUGGCUACAGUCAAAAAGAUGGAAAGAAACAAGUGUCGGUGAGGACGUGGGGAAAUUGGAGCUCUCAUACACUGCUGAUGGGAAUGUAAAAUGGUGCAGCCCCUUUGGAAAAUAGUCCAGCAUUUCCUCAGUUAGUUACACAUAGAAUUACCAUGGUACAGUUAACUCCUCUCCUAGGUAUAAACUCAAAAGAAAUGAAAAUGUGUUCAAAUAGGUAGUGGUACAUGAAUUUUCACAGUAACAUUGUUCAUAAUAGCCAGAAAGUAGAAACAACCCAAAUGUCCAUUAGCUGAUGAAUCAAUAAACUAAAUGUGAUAUAUUCAUACGAUGGAAUAUUCAUCCAUAAGAAGGAAGGAAGUACUGAUACAUGCUGUAACAUUGAGUAUAUGCUGAGUAUAUCAGCAUGUACUGAUACAUGCUGUAACACUGAGGAAUAUUAUUCAUCCAUAAGAAGGAAGGGAGUACUGUUACAUGCUGUAACAUUGAGGAACUUUAAAAACAUGAUGUUUGGUUACAGAGUUUCAGUAUGGAAGGUGAAAAUAGUUCUGGAGAUGGAUGGUGGCCAUAGUUAUGCAACAAUGUGAAUGUGCUUAAUGCCACUGAACUCUACACAUGAAAAUGCCUUCAAGCCAGCAGAGCAUGUGGAAGCCUUGAUCUUCUGAGGUGCUGGGGCUGUUUCUUGCCUUCCUGUAUCAAAGCUCAUUUUGUAAGUAUUGCAGUCAGGAGUCUUAGUCCUGUGAAGGGACUUUGUUCAACCCUUAUUAAAAGCCCAGAUUUGCUGCUGUGUGCUUGGCAUCCCCUUCAGAAUUGAUGUCUGAUGUUUUAUGCUUCUGAAAUCUUCUAGAACAAGGCCAGAGAGAUUUUCUGAAUCCCUCUUUGAUUGUUUUUAAUUCCAUUACAGCUUGUCCUCGUGUAUUAACAAGGUAAUCUUGUCUUUCUCUUACUUUACUGCUCUGAUCUUUCAGAGGAAAUGUGAUUUUAAAAUGGGACACCAUCCAAAGAUCAUGCCAGGAUGACAAAGGAUAUUAUUCAUGCAAGCAGUGCAAUUCCAAAGAUGUGAUCUGAGCUAUAGUUCUUUGCAUGUUUUUGAUUCCCUUUCUACUCAGAAGUGGUCCACAGGGCUUCCCUGGUGGCGCCGUGGUUAAGAAUCCACCUGCCGGGCUUCCCUGGUGGCGCAGUGGUUGGGAGUCCGCCUGCCGAUGCAGGGGACGCGGGUUCGUGCCCCAGUCCGGGAGGAUCCCGCAUGCCACGGAGCGGCUGGGCCUGUGGGCCAUGGCCGCUGGGCCUGCGCGUCCGGAGCCUGUGCUCCACAACGGGAGAGGCCACAGCGGUGAGAGGCCCGCGUACCGAAAAAAAAAAAAAAAAUCCACCUGCCAAUGCAGGGGACACGGGUUCGAGCCCUGGUCCAGGAAGAUCCCACAUGCCGCAGAGCAGCGAAGCCCGUGCACCACAGCUACUGAGCCUGCGCUCUAGAGCCCAGGAGCCACAACUACUGAGUCCACGUGCCACAACUACUGAAGCCCACGCGCCUAGAGCCCAUGCUCUGCAACAAGAGAAGCCACUGCAAUGAGAAGCCCGUGCACCGCAACGAAGAGCAGCCCCGACUCGCCGCAACUAGAGAAAGCCCACGCACAGCAACGAAGGCCCAACGCAGCCAAAAUUAAAUUAAAUUAAAUUAAAACAUAGAAGUGGCCCACAGACCAAUAGCAGUGGUAUCACCUGGGAGCAUGUUAGAAAUGCAGAAUUUGGGGCUUCUCCCCAAACCUACCUAAUCAGAAUCUGCAUUUUAACAAGAUGUGGUGGUUUUAAAGUAUGUCCACACGUUCCUUGAUAUUCCUCUGUUUGGUGGAGCCUAAUUCCCCUUAUCUUGAGUGUGGGCUGUCCUUAGUGACUUGUUUAUAACAAACCAUGAGGCAGAGAUGGUGGAGUGCGACCUCCAAGGCAGCUAAGUCAUAAAAGACCUCUCUCUAGGAUCUCUCCUCCUUGGGGAAGCCAGAGUUGCCAUGUGGUGAGAACACUCAAGCAGUUAAUCUGUGGAGAGGGUCACAUGGCCAAGAACUGAGGCCCCCUGCCAACAAUCAUGUUGCACAACAUCUCUGAAGUGAAUCCUCAGCCUUGGUCAAGACUUCAGAUGACAUAACUGCAGCCAGCAGCCAGCCUGCAACCUUAUGAAGACCCAGAGCCAGACCCACCCAGCUGAGUCACUGCUGAGCUCCUGACUCUCAGCAACUAUGUUAGAUGAUAAAUGUGCGUUGUUUUCAA